UACGUAGGGUGCAAGCGUUGUCCGGAAUUAUUGGGCGUAAAGAGCUCGUAGGCGGUCUGUCGCGUCGGAUGUGAAAAUCAGGGCUCAACCCUGGACCUGCAUUCGAUACGGGCAGACUAGAGUUCGGCAGGGGAGACUGGAAUUCCUGGUGUAGCGGUGAAAUGCGCAGAUAUCAGGAGGAACACCCAUAGCGAAGGCAGCUUGCUGGGACGUUACUGACGCUAAGGCGCGAAAGCGUGGGGAGCGAACAGG
rnacentral:rRNA from 1 species